UACGUAGGUGGCAAGCGUUGUCCGGAAUUAUUGGGCGUAAAGCGCGCGCAGGUGGUUUCUUAAGUCUGAUGUGAAAGCCCACGGCUCAACCGUGGAGGGUCAUUGGAAACUGGGGAACUUGAGUGCAGGAGAGAAGAGUGGAAUUCCACGUGUAGCGGUGAAAUGCGUAGAGAUGUGGAGGAACACCAGUGGCGAAGGCGACUCUUUGGCCUGUAACUGACGCUGAGGAGCGAAAGCGUGGGGAGCGAACAGG
rnacentral:rRNA from 1 species